rnacentral:rRNA from 1 species
GCGCUUAACACAUGCAAGUCGAGGGGCAGCAUGGUCUUAGCUUGCUAAGGCCGAUGGCGACCGGCGCACGGGUGAGUAACACGUAUCCAACCUGCCGUCUACUCUUGGACAGCCUUCUGAAAGGAAGAUUAAUACAAGAUGGCAUCAUGAGUCCGCAUGUUCACAUGAUUAAAGGUAUUCCGGUAGACGAUGGGGAUGCGUUCCAUUAGAUAGUAGGCGGGGUAACGGCCCACCUAGUCUUCGAUGGAUAGGGGUUCUGAGAGGAAGGUCCCCCACAUUGGAACUGAGACACGGUCCAAACUCCUACGGGAGGCAGCAGUGAGGAAUAUUGGUCAAUGGGCGAGAGCCUGAACCAGCCAAGUAGCGUGAAGGAUGACUGCCCUAUGGGUUGUAAACUUCUUUUAUAAAGGAAUAAAGUCGGGUAUGGAUACCCGUUUGCAUGUACUUUAUGAAUAAGGAUCGGCUAACUCCGUGCCAGCAGCCGCGGUAAUACGGAGGAUCCGAGCGUUAUCCGGAUUUAUUGGGUUUAAAGGGAGCGUAGAUGGAUGUUUAAGUCAGUUGUGAAAGUUUGCGGCUCAACCGUAAAAUUGCAGUUGAUACUGGAUAUCUUGAGUGCAGUUGAGGCAGGCGGAAUUCGUGGUGUAGCGGUGAAAUGCUUAGAUAUCACGAAGAACUCCGAUUGCGAAGGCAGCCUGCUAAGCUGCAACUGACAUUGAGGCUCGAAAGUGUGGGUAUCAAACAGGAUUAGAUACCCUGGUAGUCCACACGGUAAACGAUGAAUACUCGCUGUUUGCGAUAUACAGCAAGCGGCCAAGCGAAAGCGUUAAGUAUUCCACCUGGGGAGUACGCCGGCAACGGUGAAACUCAAAGGAAUUGACGGGGGCCCGCACAAGCGGAGGAACAUGUGGUUUAAUUCGAUGAUACGCGAGGAACCUUACCCGGGCUUAAAUUGCAGAUGAAUUACGGUGAAAGCCGUAAGCCGCAAGGCAUCUGUGAAGGUGCUGCAUGGUUGUCGUCAGCUCGUGCCGUGAGGUGUCGGCUUAAGUGCCAUAACGAGCGCAACCCUUGUUGUCAGUUACUAACAGGUUCCGCUGAGGACUCUGACAAGACUGCCAUCGUAAGAUGUGAGGAAGGUGGGGAUGACGUCAAAUCAGCACGGCCCUUACGUCCGGGGCUACACACGUGUUACAAUGGGGGGUACAGAGGGCCGCUACCACGCGAGUGGAUGCCAAUCCCCAAAACCUCUCUCAGUUCGGACUGGAGUCUGCAACCCGACUCCACGAAGCUGGAUUCGCUAGUAAUCGCGCAUCAGCCACGGCGCGGUGAAUACGUUCCCGGGCCUUGUACACACCGCCC